AAGGGCUGUACCAAAAAUAUUCUGUCCUUUUAUUUAAAUUAUGACUUCCCUUUGCUUCUCUUUCUCCUGGCAAAUCUUCUAAGAUAUACUUGUCAGAGGAGAUUCCAUGUUUUCCAGCUUAGCAGUAUCAAUAAAGACCGUAGCACCGUUUCUCAAACUGAAGCCCAAGGACUUGGGGAUUCUCAGAUGACUCUCUGCUAACUGAGCUCCCAGUGAGAACUAUUAAUCCUUUGCCUCGGCUGCAGUUAUAGGUCAGAAGACUUUUACAAAGAGAAGAGACACGAUCAAAUAAAACACCAGUCAUGAGUGGCCUGGCACCUGACCAGGAAAGGUUAAAAAAAGGUCAAACGAGCCUCCCAUUGCGUGGCCAAGAAGUGGUUUCUGGAGAAAUGGGUUUGGAGGAUUUAUCUGGGUCUGCUAUUACUAGGAUGUCAGAAAAAUGUUAAAGCUGGAUCUACGAGAG